rnacentral:rRNA from 1 species
ACUCCUACGGGAGGCAGCAGUAGGGAAUCUUCCACAAUGGACGAAAGUCUGAUGGAGCAACGCCGCGUGAGUGAAGAAGGGUUUCGGCUCGUAAAACUCUGUUGUUAAAGAAGAACAUAUCUGAGAGUAACUGUUCAGGUAUUGACGGUAUUUAACCAGAAAGCCACGGCUAACUACGUGCCAGCAGCCGCGGUAAUACGUAGGUGGCAAGCGUUGUCCGGAUUUAUUGGGCGUAAAAGCGAGCGCAGGCGGUUUUUAAGUCUGAUGUGAAAGCCUUCGGCUCAACCGAAGAAGUGCAUCGGAAACUGGGAAACUUGAGUGCAGAAGAGGACAGUGGAACUCCAUGUGUAGCGGUGAAAUGCGUAGAUAUAUGGAAGAACACCAGUGGCGAAGGCGGCUGUCUGGUCUGUAACUGACGCUGAGGCUCGAAAGUAUGGGUAGCAAACAGGAUUAGAUACCCCUGGUAGGAUAGCG